rnacentral:rRNA from 1 species
GAACGCUGGCGGUGUGCUUAACACAUGCAAGUCGAACGGGCAAGAGCUGUAGCAAUACAGAAUUCUGCUAGUGGCAAACGGGUGAGUAAUACAUGGGAAUCUACCUUGCAGUGCGAAAUAACAGUUGGAAGCAAUUGCUAAUGUCGCAUAUAGCCGAGAGGUGAAAGAUUUAUCGCUGCAAGACGAGCCCAUGCAGGAUUAGCUAGUUGGUAAGGUAACGGCUUACCAAGGCAACGAUACGUAGCCGACCUGAGAGGGUGAUCGGCCACACUGGAACUGAGACACGGUC